CCAGGAGCUGGCGGCGGCAGCACGGAGUCGCGGCCAGGAGGUUUCGGGGGGCUUUUUUUGUUACGUUCUCUGGAGAAGUGCGAAGAGGAGGGGGAGGAGAACCAACAGCUUUCCGAAAUUCCCCUUCAGUUGUUUAUUUAUGUACUUCCCGUGUCCAUGAAAAAAGGGUUCGUUUCGCAACUCCGGAGUUUUAUAUUGUUUUCUAUUUACUUUCCCCCUCCUUCUCUUUCGUUUAAAGUUAUCUUUCUUUAUGUCCUGCGUUUACCCGUCUCAUUCCGGCAGAUCAAACUGUCCGAAGACAGAUCUCCAGAGGCUUGUCCUCACUGACAUUCGGGGAAUCCAAACAAAGAGGUGCAUCUACCGGAAAUAAUGAUUUGAGAGAUGGUUCUCUCCCUUUCCACCCCCCACUCCCCCGCCUUGAAUUAAAUUGUUUUCUUUUUCUGGGAGGUUCAGUUUGAGGGAAGUUUUGCUCCGGAGCCGGGGUCGGGGCUGAGGAGGGAUGGAGCAGACGGAAAGUUGCGGCGGGGGGAGGAGGCGGGGGCCGAGGGCAGUGCGGGACCCCGGCGGCGCCCGGACCGCGGGGGGAGCAGGGGCGCGGGGGACCUGCCGCCGCUGCCGGCUCUUUGUCUGCUCGGGCAACUUGAACAAAAGGAGAAACUCGGAUGAACUCUCCAUCUCUCCCUCGCCUCUCUCGGGUUAACUCAUCUUCGGCAACUUUAUCCGAAGAGAUUUACUCAACUUUCUUCGAGCUCUCCCGCCGCUUAAAAGCAAAGAAUCCCGCCGUAGGCUUCUAAGGAAAUCUGGUUACACAGUUUAGAGAAAGGAGAAGGUACGUUUGGACUUGGGGUUUAUUGUUCUUUCCCGGCUCCCUCGCCGUCCCCCCCUCCGCCCUGCCAUCCGCGCCCGGGUCCGGGAGCGCAGCGGAGGCGGCUGCGGGCCAGCCCAGCCUUUCCUUUGUACUUUUGGGAGCACAUGCAGGUAUUUUUGGGGAGGGUAAGGAAGUAAUUCCACCCGAACCCCCGUAAUGCGGGCUGGGGGGCACUACUCAGGGAGGUCUUGCCUCCUUCUUGUGCCUGCUUUGUUUUAUUUUAGAGGUUUAACUUUUUUUUUUCCUUCUUUUUAUUUUUUUUUCUUUUUUCUUUUUUUUCGGAUUUUUUUUGGUGGUGGUGAGGGAAGUGGACUCGAAGGGCUUUCUGGAUCGGGCUGUGUUUUUAAGAGUUGGGACAGAGAAAAGCUGAAGACGGGGAAAACUUGCUGGGAUUGUCGGGAGUCCUGGCGGCCCUGGCCGGGGAGUGAGUGGGGGGCUGGUGGAGGCCGUGGGUCCGGGCAGGGCAGCGCAGCAGGGGCAAGGUGGGGGCUCCGCCGUGUGCCACUACGGCUCCCGGGCCCCAGACACCACGGAGGGGAGCACCUUGCUCCUGUGGGACCAUCCCAGGGAACCACGGUGCGCAGGAGUCCAAGGGACAAUUUUCGGAGAAGCGGGACGGACCAGAGGGAGGACUUUGUUCUUCCGAAUGCAUUGAUCAUAGCGAAGGGGAGAGUGGAAAGGGUCAGUCCAGGCUGGCCCUUCCUCGGCUGGGCUUCAGUGCAAUUCCCUUUGUCCCUUCGGAAACGCAAUAGUUGCAUUGGGUUUUGUUCCAUUCCUUUUGGUUCAUGCUUUCUAGAGCAAGCAUCGCAACUCCAGAAAACUUACUUGUGCGCUCUUUGUACUUUUCUUAAUUACCUUGAUCAAGUUAGUAUCUUAUUAUUUCCCCAUCCUCUUUAUCUGUGCUAUGUAAUAACUGUCCACUUUUCUCUUUUUUCAUCCUAGUCCUCUACUUUCUUUUGUUUUCUUGUCCCAAUUUCCCAAUUGUUCACCUCUUCUUUAGAUCUACCCAUUUCAGAGUAUCUGAAGUCUACUUUCUCACUUUUUAUUGUUUUUGUUCUCCUCAAUCUCUUCCCACCUACUCUUCCACCUUUAUUCUUACUUGCAUUUCUCAUGAAAAACUCCUUUUGCCAGGAUCUUUCCUUUCCUCCAUGUGUAGAAUUGUUCAUUUCUCCUGAUGUGAAGCAAACAUAAAGCUGCUUCUUGUUCUCUUCUAAACCUGUUCUUCUGUGGACUGCCCUACAUCCAUGUUACCCUGUUACGCAGACAGAGCUUCUAGCAAUAAUUCUUGUUCACCAAUGUUCACUUUCUCUUUUCUUCUCAUCUUUGUCCCCACAUACAUGCAUCUCCCAGUCUGUAAAAGCUUCUGCUAGUUCCUCUCCAUUGUCCUUAGUGUGGAAGUUUGUUCUUUUCCCUUUCCCCCACUCCAUCUUGGCAGACUUGAAGCUGUUCUUCACGUCAUUGUUCCCUUCUGUGCAGAGUAUUUUUCUCUCCAUUCCUCAUAGUCCCCUUCCCAACGCAAGUCAAAUUUGCCUUUUGCACCUCUGAGGGAAUUGCACAGAGGGACUAUCAGAGUAGACUGACAUGGGUUUAGCUGCUUUGGCUUCUUCCUGGGCCAGAUGCCAUCAGUGGUGCUCAUAGUUCAGGUCCCAACUGAAGUGACACAUCUGCUGGUGGAAAUGCUGUGGGAAGACACUGCAACAGGGCUAAGGAAGCAGAGAAGAUCAUAUAUGUUUCCCUCAAAAGGGUUGAUGGGUUUUGGUUUUGCUGCUUGGGAUUUUUUUAUUGACUUACUGUUUUCAUUAGUUUUUAAAUACCUGCCAGGGCAGUUGAAGAGCCUUUAUAUUACUUUUUUUUUUUUUUUUUUUUUUUUUUUUUUUUUUUUUUUCCCCCUGACACUUCAGUGCUUUCUGGAAGGUAAGACUGUGCAAUCUAUAGAGGUAUAUGAAAGUCUUUUUCUUAAACCUUCUUCUGUUACACUCCAGCCCCACAAUGUUUUUAAAGCAAAGUGCCAUCACCAGGAUUUGAGUUUAGGAUGUGUCUAAAUCUGUGAAGAAAUUUGUGUUUGAAAUUAUUCGGAAGAAUGUAACUUUAUAUUGUAUGUUAGUCCCCAAGUAGUGUGGCAGACUGUGCUGAACUAACAAUUCUUCCUCAUAUUUGAACAGGUCACAGCAUGAUUGUUGGGAAAAUGGGAUGGUUGCCAGGACAUCAGUCUGUGAUGGGUACCAUAUUGCAUUUCUCUUCGAAUGGUGGAAUACAGCUUGGGAUAAGCAGGGCUGCUCAACAUGGUUCAAACUGGACCAUAGAGCUGCUUAACAUCUUAGCUGUUUGGAUUCAGAGUAAUGGUUAAUGGUCUCCGGGGAGAAGUGGAAGAGCCCUGUGCUGAAACUUGUGGAUAUUGUGGAACAUGCUGCUGAGACCCAUUUGGAUUAUAUCACUGCCUGACACCAAGGUUCUGCAGCUGAUGGAAGGAGUUUACCAGAUCUUUUUAUGUGGUUGCUGGAGAAUUGCCCUGGGACAGCAGUAAUGACGGAUGGACAAACAGAACACACUUCAGGCUUGAGUCCCAGAGAAAUGUGAGGAUUUACACUUCUGAAGUAGAUGUGAGUGGGAUUGAGGGAAUUACAUGGAGGAUUCUGAACUCCCCUACUUCCUGCUCCAGGAAAGACGGAGGCCUGCUCUGAGACCACCUCUGGAUAUGAUCCACCUGUACUACUGAAGCUGGUUAGAAUGGUGUGACAAAUGCCAAUCCAGGACAAGGAGGUUUUGAAGGGACACAAGAGAAACAGAGCCAAAGAAAACACCAGCAAGGAAAGAGGAGAGCAGAGGAGAGGAGGAAACCGAAAUAGCUAUGGAAAUCUGUCAGGGAGUAACCUCAUCAAGUAAGGGUGGUGUGCUGUUACUGCUGCUCAGGGAGGAAAAGGAGGCUGGCAGACCUCUGUGUGGAGAUUCAGAUGGAUCUACCAGCUGUCAAGGCCAACACUGCUGUACAGUCCUUGCUCUCAGCAACAUUCUCAGUGUCCUUGUGAUGGGGUGUCUUGGAAUGACUGUGCAGGUCAAGCUUCACACUACCUCUGCAAUUCAGGUUCUCUGUGCUGCGUGAAGCUGCACUGUUUGGAAGAAGCAAGACUGUCUUUCCUCAGAGCUACGAUGCUACACCGCUUUCGACAGAGCCUGCUUCUCCCUCCAUUUACCUGGGCGGCUGCUGCUCUUUCUGCUGCUGCUGCUGGGGCUGCUGCAGUCUGGCUGCCUGCGCUUCGCCCUGGCUUGGCUGACUCGAAACUCUCUCGUCUGCACAUUGCUAAGGAAGAAAAGCCAUGGAGCCGCGUAUUUUUUUAUUGGUUCUGGAAGCCAAGGGUUGCAAUAUGUGAUGAUUUGGGGGUUUUUUGCGGCGAGGGGGAGGGAGGAGAAAGGAACGGUUUUAAUCUAGGAUAGGGUGGGUGAAAGCUUAAAGAAAUAUUAUGUGAAGUAAUCCAGUGCUCGACAAGGGCAUCAGCAACAAGAAUCCAGCCUCUGCUGCUCCAGAGGAUUAACAUGGGGAAGUCACGGUGCUGCAGUCGGGUUGCACCUCAGUGUUGUGCUGGAGAUGGAUAAAUAAGGUAUCGGUUGCAUCUGCCUGUUAAGGCAAAGCCAAGGGAGAAGGAGAGAGCGAGCGAAUGCAAAUGCAAAGGAAGAAGAAAUGCUGCGUGCCGUUUGUCUGAUUCUGUGGAUUCUCACUGCAUAGGGGAUGGCUUGAUUAACAAAGCAAUGUAUGGACGGAGGGACUGUAAAUCGUAGCUUGAGCACUCCUGGUGCUGUCAGGGAGUGAACUGAUGAGUUACGUGGCUGCAGGAAUAUCCCCAGGGAAAACAGCAGCCUUGCACUCUGUGUGUAUAUCUGUGUAUGUACGUGCUUUUGUGUGUGUGUGAACAUGUUUAGAAAUGAAAGAAAGACAUUUCUGACCAGUUUACGGAGGACGCUUGUCAGUUUGCUGGGUCAGACUUGAUUGCAGCUUGUAUUUUCAGCUCUAGCUCUACACCCAUUUCCUGACUGAGGUGGCACUUUGUGAAAACAGAUGGUAGGCAGUAUUCUUUUAAGAAAUGUGAAAGCAGAUCCUUUCCACUUAACACCUUGAAGCACUGAGUCUUCUGCACGGUGCUGAGACAAACCAUGGGAUUUCAUUUUCUCCAUCUUAAAAUCUCUAUAAACACAGCUGUAUUCAGUAUGGUGAAAAAUUCUAUACUGUAAAUAGAAAUGUGAUCAAUCUAAUCAAAAUAAAUGUAUCCCAGAUGACUUCUAGACCAGCUGGCUACCACAGUCAUCAGAUGACUAAAUCCUCAACUGAUCAUUUGUAUUCCAUGUUAUACUUGCAUCUUUUUCUUUAUCCCUCUUUUUUCUUAUGUUUUCAAAAUCAGCCGCUAAUUGAAAAGGAUUCUUCAUAUAUUGAGAAAAGGCAAUGCUUGCAUUUGGCAAUUGAUUUCUGUGAAAUCUAGCUGGGUGUAUGUUUAAUUGUGGAAUCUGCUUGGGGUGGUUUUAGAGCAGGUAGGCUUGUCACAGUACAGGCAUAUUUCAUUUGGUAGGUAGCUCAGCUUGGCCAUAUCUGAACAAUGCAGAAACAGGGAAAACAAGCAUUGCACUCAGCUAGCAGGACUUGGCAUGGAUUCUAGCAGCUGCCUACCAAGAAAGACAGGGUUUUUUCCUUUCGUUUUUUUCCCUUUUGUACAAAGCCAUAGACCAUAAUACCACACUAAAAUGUGUAUGAGGGGAUUUCCCAAUAGUCAUGGUGAGCUACCCUGCAAGACACUCGUCUGGUCCUUCCACUGUCUGUUUCCCAACCUACAAAGGCAGCCCUGUGUGUUGAAUUGUAUUUAGCCAGCUGUUGGAUAGCAUUCUUGUGCUGGGGGGCUAAGGAGUCUUAUUACUCCCAAACUGUAGUUUUCUAUUUGCUUAAAGAAAAAUAUCUUUGGCAAUACAGCAGGCUGUGCAAAGGAGUUUAUGCCACUCCUAUACCUUUCUGAAUCUGUUGUGUGCUUCUAACUGGGGCAGUUUGAAGCAAGGAAGGAGGGAGGAGGAGAGACACUGAACUCGCAGCUUCAAAGCUGCAGAGACGAACAAAAUGUCAGCGGCUUGUAAUUAGGAGCCCACGGUUACGUCAGUGACUGUAUCUCUCCAAGAACUGCUAUGUGAUGUGUGCCACAAAGCAAAGGAAGACUCUCACAACCUGGUUAACAAGCCUGGCUCGAACAAGAAAGAGCAAAAUGGAUUAAUGAAUCUGCUGUGUUCCUAAGUCAUAUGUGGAUGGAUUACAUGCAUAAGGUUUGCUGAAUUCUGCAGCAGUGAAGACUGAAUUAUGGCAUGCAUUCACCAAAAGUGCAAAUCCUUCAGGAAAAAAUGCAGAUGAACAGUCUCUCCUUGAAAAUUUCUUUCCUAGCUCUGUCCUGUACAGGCAACUGCAUGACAUGGAGGCGUCCUCUGAAGGAAGAGACUGGCGAGCUGCACAAAGGUGUUUAAAAGGAAGGGUGCAAUUAAACACAAAGCAAGCCUGCUGAAACUCUGUUCUGGCAUUACAGAUCGGAUACUGCAAUACCACCCCAGAGGAGACCGGCUGGGCUCUGGUGUGGUUUAUAUUAAGGCUUUUCUGUUUAAGAGCGAGGGGGGAGGGACAGGGUUUCCUGCAGCAUCUUGCAGCCAUGCAGAAGUCCCCAGGGCUGUGGGAAGCAGGAGGGAUGGAUGUGCUCUUAAAGACACAUGCCCAGAUCCUGCCAAGGGAAUUUCUGACCUCUGCAAUUAUUUUUAGGUCUGUGAAGGCAACUCGGCAGUGCUUAAGCAGUGAGAUUGCAGGGGGUGUUUAAUCUGCUGCGACUGUCCUUUCUGUGUGUCAUGGCUGGGAGAGGUUCGUAGGGCUUCUUUCAAUACCCCUCCACCACAUCCAGCAUGCAUGCCUGUCACUGUUCCCAAAGACCAGUUACAGAGGUCUGGUGUGGGUCCCUGCUCCCAGCAGAAGUCACUUGCAGUUCAACAACUCUGUUGUAGUUGCUCUUUAAUUUACCAGGAUAGGUAGAUUGUAUCACACAAACAGUGGGGGUGGGUGGUUUUUGGUUUGGUUUUGGUUUGGGAUUUUUUUUUUUUUUUGACUGAGAGCACAAAUUUGUAGGAGGAGAUGACUCUGUAUAUUAAACCAAUAGCUCUUUGAAUUGUGUGUAGUAUAAUUUAAAUAUACUUACUUUAAUUAAUAGAAGGGUUCAAAAGCUGGCAUUGUCUGGGGCUGUUUAAUUUACAUCUUAGGUUUAGUCAAUGGGCAUAACCUGCCUGAUUAGAAUGGUGUAUUCUGCACAGCCAACAGGGUGGAAGCCAUUAUUUUGUUUGUGUUAGUUCAAACAGCUGGUCAUUAAUGCAGGCCCCAUCUCCAGAGUGAAGUGCUAGUGGACAUGAAUGGCUGCCUGAUUAAUGCUGCCCCUCGACGGGUCCUCCAUCCAGCAGCGAUGCUCGCAGCAGAAUAAUGCAGCGGGAUUUGAUUGCGCUCUAACAGGGUAGUAUGUCAUUGUGUCACCAAGCCAUUGGGGUUAUUAUGGGCUAGGGCAGACAGACGGGACAGUGGGGUUACUAGACCGUGGCAUUUUUAGAAAUGCAGGGCUGACCUACUUAGAGUUAUUCUUGCUGGCUGGCAGCUGCCUGGUGCGGGGCUCCCCCGGAUAGGCUGCGGCUGUUGCUAGGGGGAAUUAGCAUGAAUUUUUCCACAUACAGACUCAGUGAUUGAAUGAUAAAAGCUGACUGGAAUUAAAGAGAUUCGGUUCAGUAUUAUGCAGAUUUAUCUCCCUCAUUUUUUUUUCUUUCUGUCAAAUGCAUAAAAAGGAGCAGAAAACAGUUUAUUUCCAUUUAUUUUUGACCUAUAUUUUUUUUCCAAGGGAGGGCAGAAGUGUUGUGAAUUUUUGGUCAUAAUUUAAUAUUUAGGCCAUUGAAAUGAUAUGAUAGGGGGCAUGCAUCUUUAAUGUAUGGGAGAUUAAAAUGCUGCCUCUCUGGAAUGGAAUGAAAUGAAUAUAUUUUGUGUUCUGGUCUGGCUGCCACCUCUUCUUAUUUGAAGCCAUGUCAGAUUCCUUCAUUUGGAAAAGGGAAACAUAUACCAGGUUUUAUUGCAUAACAUUACUCUUAGCUAUUUUUAGCUAUCUGUACUUCAAAAAAAUUAGUCCUGUUUAUGCUAGUGGGUGAAAUUAAUCCUCAGGCUAUGCCUUAUGUAUGUGGAGACAGACGCCCAGGGUAGCUGCAGUGUUGUGUGUCAUGUUCAUCUGAAAAGGUGUUUACAUAUUGCAGGCUUAUCAGCACUGCAUACCUAGCAGAGUGCUGAUGCCUGACAUGUAAUCAGAUCAAUUAGAGAACUCUUCUGGAUUUCAGAGUAUUUUUCAGGCCCUGGUUUGAAGUUGGAUUCUCUACAUGGCCUUCUUUUAUUUACCUACAUCUGCCUAAAACAGUGUUAUCUUUUCAGAGAACUCUGUGCUCCCUUAGGAAGCAAAUAAAAACAAUACUCAGUGAAGAAUCCUUUGAUGUAAUCAUGAAUAUUUCCUUUGUUAUUAUCACUAAUUAUAGAAGAUCUUUGUUUAAACUGCUAUUUCCCUCUGUGUGAUCUUUUACCAUGCAAAGAAGUUCCAAUUUAGUGCUUAUAAUUUUAAGUUAAAUAUUCAUGGCAAUGCAUCAUGACAUCACACUGACAGAAGUGGGAAUUUUCAAAAUAUGAGGCAGUGGGGGAUGGGAGAGAAGGACCUACAUGUCUUUGGAAUUCCAAAAUAAAAUAUGUGACUCAGUGUUGAAAAACAGUGAACUCAUUUUUGCCUGAAACAGUUUAAUUUCAAAUACUUGGAUGAAUGACAUAUCUUUUAGAGGAGUGUGAACAGCUUGCACACCUGAGGUACCUUUUAGAGGAGUGUGAGCUGCCUGUGCAUCUCAUCACUGAACAGCUAGCUGCUUCCCUGGAACCAGAGCUGUCCUGCCUUGGCCUCUGGAAUUUAUGGGGAAAGUAUAAAAAAAUGAAACCAGAAAUGGAGACAUGAAUUUGAAUGCAUUUUGUGGCUGAGGCAAAGCAUUCAGUUCCUACAGAGCUGAAUUUCCUACGUCUUUUUCCUGGCAUUGAUUCAUUACCGAAACUCACACCACUUCCUUCUCUGCUCCUUCCUGACAGUCUCAUGGAGUGACAGAUUUUUAAAGAAGUGAAAGUGAGGAGGGGUACUGUUUGAUGCCCAGUAAUUGUGUUUGCUUUGUCUGUCCUUGGAGGUUACUCCAGAAAGUUGUGGUCCCACUUCCCUCAGCAAUAUUCUCUUGAUCAAAAUCUGAUAUCCUGCUCCACUUUCCUGCAGGAUGCUGCAGGAUGCUAGGCAACAGACAACCUUCACCUACAAUUGUCUCUUGAGGUUUUUGCCCUUGUUGGUUAUAACCAGUUGUAGUUUCAUCCAGUUCACCUGAACUGAUAUUAGCUAACUUGGGCUUCAGCAAAUCAAAAUAAGCAUGCAUUACUAUAUUAAUGUAGUACCCCAUUUUCUAGAAAAAAAGAAUUUGAGUGUUUGGUAUAUUUGAGCUAAAAGAGAGGGAGUUCAAAGAAAAGCAACAAACAAGAUAAAGCACAUACUCCUGGAAAAGAAUUGUGUCCUUGGUGUUUAUCUGGAUUUCAACAGAGUUUGUUUAUAAAAAUCAUCAAAUGAGACAGUUUAACAAAUCAUCAAGUGACAUAU